UGCUUCCUUCAUUCGUCAUUUGUUUCUCUUUCCUCUACCGAAAACCAUUCUUAGACUUCUAUUUCAGUUUAAUUUCGAAAUUGUUUGUCUAGCAGGGUGUUGAUUUUACUUCCAUAUUGCCAUGCUUGAUCCAUUGAUUUCUGACCUAAAUUUGUUUCUACAUUGCCACUCAUGAUCUUCAAUUAAUUCGUAUCCCAGAAACAACAUACAUACCUUUAACCAUAUCCAUGCUGUUUCGCGGCCUUCCAAGCAACCCUGCAACUACAUAUAUUGCAUCUUCUUG
rnacentral:lncRNA from 1 species